GUCGAGUUUCCGGCGAAGUCAGUCCGCCAUCUUGGGUGUGGAAAGAAAGACCUGUGUGUGGCAGAGUGGGCGAUUGGGGAGCCAUAUUGGUGGUGGCAGUGGUAGAUGAAGGGGCGUGGCUGUUGCUGAAAUAGGCAGGAUAAAGCAUUGCACAUACGGGAGUAGCUCGCCUCCACUGCACAUAAGAAGAAAUGACCACAUUAGCAACAAGAUGGGUUUCUCCUGAAAGGUUUCUCCGAUUUUCACCCUAUCAGACAGAGAAGCAUUUGGGCCCCUCAGUCACCUGUAAAGCCGCCAAUUUCAGUGACAUCAGAUGAGUAUGGCAGUGGCAUAUCUCCCUCUUCCUACUGAAAUAAACGUGAUCGAUAAUCCAGUUUGGGAGAGAUAGCUGUUCGGUCAACAACUAUUUCAUAUGAAUGUCAUCUUGUGAAAAGUUGUUUAAAAAUGCCGUUUACCCAUUUCUGGAAAAAGCUAUUAUGGCAGCAGUUACAACUGUCAUAGGGACUGACAAUGAAUUUUCCCAGACCCCUGAGUCUCUUCUGCAGCAGUAUGGAUGUUUCACCAUAUAACAGCGAAUUUGCUUUUCUGGAGUCUGCAGAAGAAAGCUGUCAAUUCCACUGAUGCUAGCACAGGUGCUAUGAAACGUGUCGCUUUAUUUUCUUACAGAUGGCAAUACUUUAUAACUGCCCUAUAUAUUCAGAUUAUUAAAAUAAAUGUGCAGUUAUAAUUUUAUAAUUAUAUACAGCAAGAAUGAUGUAAUAAGGGCAUA